rnacentral:rRNA from 1 species
AAUCAACGCUGGCGGCGUGCCUCAGACAUGCAAGUCGAACGAUUAAAGCUCUCUUCGGAGAGUGUAUAGAGUGGCGCACGGGUGAGUAACACGUAAGUAAUCUGCCUUCGAGUGGGGAAUAACCCGGGGAAACCCGAGCUAAUACCGCAUAAUGCAGCGGCAUCGCAAGAUGACAGUUGUUAAAGGAAUUUAUUUCGCUUGAAGAGGAGCUUGCGGCAGAUUAGCUAGUUGGUAAGGUAAUGGCUUACCAAGGCUACGAUCUGUAACCGGUCUAAGAGGACGGUCGGUCACACUGACACUGAAUAACGGGUCAGACUCCUACGGGAGGCAGCAGUCGGGAAUUUUGGGCAAUGGGCGAAAGCCUGACCCAGCAACGCCGCGUGAAGGAUGAAGUAUUUCGGUAUGUAAACUUCGAAAGAAUAGGAAGAAUAAAUGACGGUACUAUUUAUAAGGUCCGGCUAACUACGUGCCAGCCGCCGCGGU